rnacentral:lncRNA from 1 species
UAGGCAUACUCCAAGGGCCAUUAUUGCAUUGAUUAAGAUAUUGCAAUGAAUGGUACAGAAAGAAGUUCAGUUUGCAUCACACUAACUUAGUACCUCUUCGAUCCAAUUUGAGACACAAUCCAAACCUUAAAUCAGGAAGCAGAUGUGACCAGAAGUGGGGAAAUUAUCAUUGCUCCCUUGCAGUUUACAUGAAAAUUUUAGACUGCUGUUCCUUUAAUAAAAAAGGAAGGCCCAUACUGGGUCUUACAACAUUCACAGCCAAGGCUGCACAAAGACACUGAUAUGAAUGACAAUUGACCAAUUUGCCUAUGCCAUCAUGAGAAAUGAAUGAUGCUUGACCAAGUUUCCUACAGUGUUAUAUAGCUUCUUUCACCUCCCCCUUCCUGCAUUUUACAGGAAUAAAAUGAUGGAGAGAUUGCCAGUGGAAGCAGAGGAAGCACCAACCAGCAAUAAGGAAAGACGUAACAUAAGCCAAAAUUCAUGGUGUAGCAGAAUACUUCACAACAAUACUUCAGGACUUUUGAAUCUGAGAACAUAC